rnacentral:rRNA from 1 species
GACGGAGGAUGCAAGUGUUAUCCGGAAUCACUGGGCGUAAAGCGUCUGUAGGUGGUUAAACAAGUCAACUGUUAAAUCUUGAAGCUCAACUUCGAAAUCGCAGUCGAAACUGGUAGACUAGAGUAUGUGAGAGGUGAGCGGAAUUUGUGGUGUAGCGGUGGAAUGCGUAGAUAUUGGAAAGAACACCGAUGGCGAAAGCACUUUACUGGGCUAUUACUAACACUCAGAGACGAAAGCUAGGGUAGCAAAUGGG